rnacentral:rRNA from 1 species
AUUGAACGCUGGCGGCAUGCUUUACACAUGCAAGUCGAACGGCAGCACGAAAGAGCUUGCUCUUUUGGUGGCGAGUGGCGAACGGGUGAGUAAUGCAUCGGAACGUACCGAGUAAUGGGGGAUAACUAUCCGAAAGGAUAGCUAAUACCGCAUACGCUUUGAGAAGGAAAGUGGGGGCUCUUCGGACCUCACGUUAUUCGAGCGGCCGAUGUCUGAUUAGCUAGUUGGUGGGGUAAAGGCCUACCAAGGCGACGAUCAGUAGCGGGUCUGAGAGGAUGAUCCGCCACACUGGGACUGAGACACGGCCCAGACUCCUACGGGAGGCAGCAGUGGGGAAUUUUGGACAAUGGGCGCAAGCCUGAUCCAGCCAUGCCGCGUGUCUGAAGAAGGCCUUCGGGUUGUAAAGGACUUUUGUUAGGGAAGAAAAGGAUAGUGUUAAUACC